rnacentral:tRNA from 1 species
GGGCGAUUAGCUCAGUUGGUUAGAGCACUAGCUCGACAAGCUAGGGGCCACUGGUUCGAGUCCAGUAUCGCCCACCA